GAGAUUGUAGUAUAARUAGUAUAAUUUAUUUUCAGUAAAUAGGUUAAUAUCUUA
rnacentral:tRNA from 1 species